rnacentral:rRNA from 1 species
ACCCCACUGCUAUCGGGAUAGGACUAAGACAUGCUAGUUGAGCGCUUCCAGCCAAUACGGGAGCGCAGCGCACAGCUCAGUAACACGUGGCUAAUCUGCCCUUGGGACCGGAACACCCCCGGGAAACUGGGGCUAAUUCUCGAUAGGUGAAGAACUCUGGAAUGAGUCUUCACCAAAAAGACGUUUACGUUAUGCUCGUAGGCGUCGCCCAAGGAUGAGGCCGCGACCGAUCAGGUUGUUGGUGAGGUAAUGGCUCACCAAGCCUUUUACCGGUGCGGGCCGUGAGAGCGGGAGCCCGGAGAUGGGCACUGAGACAAGGGCCCAGGCCCUACGGGGCGCAGCAGUCGCGAAAACUUUGCAAUACACGAAAGUGUGACAGGGCUAUCCCGAGUGCCAUCCGCUGAGGAAGGCUUUUACCCAGUCUAGAACGCUGGGGGAAUAAGGAGAGGGCAAGUCUGGUGUCAGCCGCCGCGGUAAUACCAGCUCUCCGAGUGGUGUGGAUGUUUAUUGGGCCUAAAGCAUCCGUAGCUGGCUGAGUUAGUCCCUUGUUAAAUCCACCGAAUUAAUCGUUGGAUUGCGGGGGAUACUGCUCGGCUAGGGGACGAGAGAGGCAGACGGUAUUUCUGGGGUAGGGGUGAAAUCCUAUAAUCCCAGGAGGACCACCAGUGGCGAAAGCUGUCUGCUAGAACGCGCCCGACGGUGAGGGAUGAAAGCUGGGGGAGCGAACCGGAUUAGAUACCCGGGUAGUCCCAGCUGUAAACGAUG